rnacentral:rRNA from 1 species
UACGAAGGGGGCUAGCGUUGUUCGGAUUUACUGGGCGUAAAGCGCGUGUAGGCGGGUCGUUAAGUUGGGGGUGAAAUCCCGAGGCUCAACCUCGGAACUGCCUUCAAAACUGGCGACCUGGAGCAAGAUAGAGGCAAGUGGAACUGCGAGUGUAGAGGUGAAAUUCGUAGAUAUUCGCAAGAACACCAGUGGCGAAGGCGGCUCACUGGCCCGGUACUGACGCUGAGGUGCGAAAAGCGUGGGGAGCAAACAGG